rnacentral:misc_RNA from 1 species
GGGAGGGGGAGGCAUAUUUUCAUUUGCAAGAAUCAUUUUUCCUUUCUUUUAGACUGUAAACUAAAUAGUAUAUACAAUUCUUCUGUACAACAAAUACUAAUGGUAUUUUGGAGGGAAUUCUAAGCAGAAACUCUUCUCUGCUCCUCUUUCAGUUUCUUCUAACGAUAUGUUCAGCAUUUUCUUUGAGACCAAUAAAUUCAAUGUAUUAUCUACAGGUUGUCGUCGUCGUCUGUAUCAAGCUCGAGGCCCUCCUCAGCUAAGAGUUGGCUUAUUACCUUCUUCUUUUCCUCCUCUGCUUUUUUUCGCAUUAAAUCCCUCUUCUUCAAGAUAAGUGUGUGGCGCUUCAGUGUGCUGUUAAAAUACUCUAUUGACGCCU